ensembl:lncRNA
GUAAGGAGGCGAUGGCCUCGGCGAACGGCCCCCGCGCGCGUUCCGGGAGGCGGCGCGCGAGCCCAAGGGCCGAGGACGGGCUGGCCAGGCUGCUUGGAGAGUCCUACAGCCCGAAGGCUUCCGAGUGCUGCAGCCCACCCCGGGGACUCAGGGGCGGGGAUCCGUAUACCCAGCACGUUUCUGGAGCGUCCACAUUGGGCUCUGGGGCUACUUUGGCUAGUGUCUUCCUCCUUCCCAUGGAGCUUAAGGAUAAUUGGGAAAGCGACAAUAUAAACAACAUCUAAAAUGAUGACAUCUUCCUCCUCCCAAAAUUCCUACGAUGAGCAGAUAGGAAAUGUAUCCCUUAAACCUCUCCAGUUUACUAAAUAUUUCAUGCCCCAUACUUCUCUGUGUCCCUCAGCGAUCUGUUAUCAUUAACCCCAUCUUACAGAUGAGGACUGGAAGGCUACGGGGUGAUGGGGCUUGUCCAGUGUCACACAAUUUCGUUGCAAAGCCAGAAUUCAAACUCAUGUCUGUCUCAUGGAAAAAUCUCUACUCCUUUACAUCCUGCUUCCUGUGUGACUUCGGGAAGAGCAAUAGUAUUUCUGAAGUUGUAUAUGCGCCCCUUAAGGGGUAGACUUAAAGAAAUGCUCCACCCACUUCUUCCUUGUGCACAGAGGUCUCUGAGGCAGCAUCCAUGCCGGGAUUCCCACAGCUGAUCAGCACCUUCAGACAGAACCAGCUCUGCGGAGAUAUUUGGUAGCCUGGUGUCUGCCCAGCCCAGGGAUCUGGUGUUAACAAGGCAGUUGCCUUAGGAAAGCUUCACAGAGAUCUCCUUCAUAAGCUGUUGCUGUUGGGAGACAGUCACCCACAAUACUACAGUGCACAAGAGAAGAACCAUUGGCUCAGCUGUGAUCAUGUGACAUUUGGUGUUUCGUAAUACUCGUAUUGCAAGACAUCACUUGUGUAUUAAGUUAAAAUUUAUGAGAAAUGUUUGUUUGUCUUGUGAAACACUCACAGAACAAAUUACUCACAGUCCACAUUUUUACUGUAUAUUUAUCUAAAAAUACCCCACAUCUUGGCUUGCACAAUUUUAUCAAUUGGGUUUAAGCAAUUAGUACUGUAUUUAAAUAUUGAUUCACUUUCAAUACAAUAUUCUCCAGGAUGCCUUCACCAUUUGGAAAAUUGGUAUAAAGGGAAGGGCAGAGUUUGAGAAAACUCUAUUAAUAAAGAUCAUGAGAAUA